AUUGAACGCUGGCGGCAUGCUUUACACAUGCAAGUCGAACGGUAACAGGCCGCAAGGUGCUGACGAGUGGCGAACGGGUGAGUAAUGCAUCGGAACGUGCCCAGUCGUGGGGGAUAACUACUCGAAAGAGUAGCUAAUACCGCAUACGAUCUAUGGAUGAAAGCGGGGGACCGUAAGGCCUCGCGCGAUUGGAGCGGCCGAUGUCAGAUUAGGUAGGUGGUGGGGGAAAGGCUCACCAAGGCAACGAUCUGUAGCUGGUCUGAGAGGGCGACCAGCCACACUGGGACUGAGACACGGCCCAGACUCCUACGGGAGGCAGCAGUGGGGAAUUUUGGACAAUGGGCGCAAGCCUGAUCCAGCAAUGCCGCGUGCAGGAAGAAGGCCUUCGGGUUGUAAACUGCUUUUGUACGGAACGAAACGGCUCUGGUUAAUACCCGGGGCUAAUGACGGUACCGUAAGAAUAAGCACCGGCUAACUACGUG
rnacentral:rRNA from 1 species